UAAACCUGUUGAAUAUAAGGCCCAGCUGCAUACAAAGACUACUGUCUUUUCCACCACGUUUCUGCAGAGCUUUUCAUCCACCAGCUGAGCUGGAUAGAGAGGCCCUGUUCACACCUGGCAUUAACAUGCAUCCUGGGUAAUAGGAUUACAAGCAGGUCUUCUGUUGCAUUUAUUUUCAGGCAGAAAAAUAUCCUGCUAAUCCUAUCUCAUGUACCUUUACAGGCUUUUCCCAGUGUUUUAAUUGUGUGGUCUGCUAACGAAUCUUUAUAAAUGAUUGACAGAUGAGAUGAUGAAAGCAGCUACGUUUAAUCGCAAUGCGUCUUUGAGACACACUGGACCCCGUUCACACCUGUACAUAGUGCUGACCACUUCGAUCUGAUCACCCAGGAUGCAUGUUAAUGCCAGCUGUAACGGGGCCAGAGAGAGUGUAGGGGGUGUCCCUUGGGGUUUUUUAUGCCAGGGGGCUCUGGUGGAGACAUUUAUGGAACAGCCUUCCAAUUAGUGUUCAGGACUCAGAUCUUUAAGUCUAGACUGAAAACCUAUUUGUUUAGUGAAGCCUUUUGUUAACAGCUUUUCUCUUAGGUACAGGAGCAGGUCUGGAGGGUUUCACAGGCAUAGAGUGUUGUGGUGAACUGGGAUGUUUGGAUGCUGUCGCCCCCCCAUUCUCACACGUUCACUCAGGCUUGUUGAUGGUGGAGUGGCUGGAGCUUUAUGUCCCAGGACUCCCUCAUGUCUGUGUUAGCUUCUGGCUCUCCUUUUUAGUUAUGCUGUAGGAUCUGAAGUGAACAGACAAGGAAAGCAAAGAAGCCAUAAAGCUAGGAAUCCUGCUCCCAAACUUUGCAGACCCAAGUUAAUUACCACUUGUUUACUGAUUGCUGGAUUUCAACUGCCUGUGAACAAUCAGCAACGGACAGGACAUCCCUGACCAGAGGAUGAACCCUCACCCAAGGACCCUCAAGGAAUGAGACCUUUGUUCUCCCCAGGAACACAAAGUUCACCAUCCUUCACACAUUCCACAGAACCCAGCUUUAACAGACUGCAUAAGGCUACUUUACAUCUCCUAUAAAGACAAUGACUUUUAAGAUGAUGCACCAUAGUUUGGAAACUUGUUGCCUCUUUUAAUGUCAUUCCGUAUGUGUGUCAUGCUUAUAGCCACCAGGCCAUUAUGAUGCUUUUUGAUUGUUUAACAGGGACCAUAGUGUUCGUGAGUGUAUCAAUAACACCAGGUAUGUCAUGUUUGGUAUGUGUGUGAUCACUAUUGAAUUUCCUAAGGGUUGGUAUACUGUAAAGUUGAGUACGAUGUAUUACAUGCAUGUUACCAAAUUCCUUACCAAAGUUCUAACUUAACCUUGUGCAAAGUUUGCAAAGCACAUAACUCAGAGACCAGAAUGUUUUUAGUGUCAGAGGAGGAGAAUACAGUUUACACCCUGCCCCAAGAUCCUGCUGAUUGGAGCAAACACUUUGGGGUCAGCCCAACUGGAAAGGGUUAAAACCCCCUGACACAAAGGAAACUCUGAGUCUCAUCCUAUCCAUCUUCCAAGAGUCUCAUCCAAAACACCUGUGCAAGAGUCCAUCAACAUCUUCAGAGAGUCCUCUUCAACUAACAGCUCAAGAGAGUCUCCAUCCACAUCUGAAGGAAGUCUCAUCAACCAAGAGCUUUAGAAGUUCAUCACGAGGAGAUCACGCUUGCUCUGAGACUCCGCAUCCAGACUGGUUCUUGCAAAGCCUCCAACUCUCGUCUUCACACCGCUGUGAACCAUUCUUCAAAGUUUUGCAACCCGCCUACGAGACUCCUUCGGGUUCACGCCUCACUCUGUUUAUCUUCCUCAUUGGUCUUUCGAGACGCUACAUAAGGCCAACCAGACCGCCGACCAAUCAACAUCGCCGGAAAAUCCUUCCAAACAACAACGCAGCGAGGGAAUCCCUGGUGACACAAACGCAAAGCUACACAUGUUAGUCCUGCUGCCUGAUGAGAUGUGGGUGAUCCUGAUUCUAUCUGCCCUCAGGACCUGCCUGAUCCAUCCCGUAUAAUGUGUAGUGUAUAGAGUAUAGAGUAUGAAGGAUUAUGGGGUAUAGUGUAUAUAAUACAGGGUAUGAAGUAUAGGGUAUAGUGUAUAGUGCAUACAGUAUAUGUUAAAGGGUAUGGGGUGUAGAAUAUAGAGUAUGAAGCAUAGAGUAUAUGUGUAGUGUAUAGGGUAUGUGUUAUAGGGUAUAGCGUAUAGAGUAUAGUGUAUAGAAUAUAGAGUAUGAAUAAUAGGGUAUAGUGUGUGAAGUAUAGGGUAUAGUGGAUAGUGUACAGGGUAUAGGGUGGACUCUUUAGAGUAUAAUGUAUAGUAUAUAGGGUAAAUAGUAUAUGCAAGUAUAUGUGGUAGUGUUUAAGAUUUAAAUGUUCAGAUUAAAUUGAGGUGCGUUUUCACUCACUGUUUUGGAGUGUGUUGAAACGACAUUUCAGAUGAGUCACUGCUUCCUGUAUGUUGUCUACCUGAGUGAAGACUAAAACAUACACACACACACACACACACACACACACUUGAGAAAAUAUCUUAUUAUUGUAUUAAUAGGCUAGUUGUAAACUGCUUACAGUCUUCAGCCUGAGUUUGUAGACUGUUCAAACUGAGUCUCAGACCAUUAACACUCCGAACAACCUCGGUACCUAACACACACACACACACACACACACAAAAUCAUGUUACAUAGGUCAGCAGGAUUGUGUGCCUGUGUGUGUGUGUGUCUGUGUGUGUGUCUCACCAUGGUUCUCCAGCUGCUGUAUCUUGUUGAUGAGUGACACAAAAGACUGAUUCAAAUUCUUCAUGUCACUUUCUACAGCUGCGAACCUUCUGUCCACUUGCGCCUCUUCAUACACACACACAGACACACACACACACACACACACCGGUGUCAGCAAAUGGUGGCAUGCUGGUGUGUGUGUGUGUGUGUGUCACUUACUGGUUAGAGAGAUGGAGAUAAUGAUUGCAAGCAGCACAACAGCCAAAAACGUGAAAACACACACACACCAUCGAGAGCGACCAGGGGAAGCUGCAAUCACACUGAAGGAGCCCUCUAAAACACACACACACACACACACACACACACUGUAAUGCCAGAUAAUGUAUUCACACAUAGACACAGACACAGACACACACACUCACACACUGUAAUGCCAGAUAAUGUAUUCACACAUAGACACAGACACACACACACACACACACACACACACACACACCUUUCCUCCAGAAGGUAGUGGUGUCUCUGGUGUGGAAGUCAUCCUGCACCUCAUCAUGUGUUGAAGUGUCUCUCAUUAUUAGAGCUACACACACAAAAAACAUACAUGCCGAAGUCCAGCUAAACAUUUUAAUUCUAUCAAUAAACACAAUCUCUUAAUCAAAACUA